CGAGCGAGACCUUCGGGUCUAGCGGCGGACGGGUGAGUAACGCGUGGGAAUAUGCCCUUUGGUACGGAAUAGCCUCGGGAAACUGAGAGUAAUACCGUAUGUGCCCUUCGGGGGAAAGAUUUAUCGCCAAAGGAUUAGCCCGCGUUGGAUUAGGUAGUUGGUGGGGUAAUGGCCUACCAAGCCUACGAUCCAUAGCUGGUUUGAGAGGAUGAUCAGCCACACUGGGACUGAGACACGGCCCAGACUCC
rnacentral:rRNA from 1 species